rnacentral:rRNA from 1 species
UACGAAGGGGGCUAGCGUUGCUCGGAAUUACUGGGCGUAAAGGGCGCGUAGGCGGACAGUUUAGUCAGAGGUGAAAGCCCAGGGCUCAACCUUGGAAUUGCCUUUGAUACUGGCUGUCUUGAGUUCGGGAGAGGUGAGUGGAGUGCCGAGUGUAGAGGUGAAAUUCGUAGAUAUUCGGCGGAACACCAGUGGCGAAGGCGACUCACUGGCCCGAUACUGACGCUGAGGCGCGAAAGCGUGGGGAGCAAACAGG